rnacentral:rRNA from 1 species
CCUACGGGAGGCAGCAGUGGGGAAUAUUGGACAAUGGGCGAAAGCCUGAUCCAGCCAUGCCGCGUGUGUGAAGAAGGCCUUCGGGUUGUAAAGCACUAUCAGUGGGGAAGAAAGCCUUGGGGCUAAUACCCUCGAGGAAGGACAUCACCCACAGAAGAAGCACCGGCUAACUCCGUGCCAGCAGCCGCGGUAAUACGGAGGGUGCGAGCGUUAAUCGGAAUUACUGGGCGUAAAGCGCGCGUAGGCGGUCUGAUAAGCCGGUUGUGAAAGCCCCGGGCUCAACCUGGGAACGGCAUCCGGAACUGUCAGGCUAGAGUGCAGGAGAGGAAGGUAGAAUUCCCGGUGUAGCGGUGAAAUGCGUAGAGAUCGGGAGGAAUACCAGUGGCGAAGGCGGCCUUCUGGACUGACACUGACGCUGAGGUGCGAAAGCGUGGGUAGCAAACAGGAUUAGAUACCCUAGUAGUC